rnacentral:rRNA from 1 species
ACCCUACGGGAGGCAGCAGUGGGGAAUAUUGCGCAAUGGGCGAAAGCCUGACGCAGCGACGCCGCGUGGGUGAAGAAGUCAUUCGUGACGUAAAGCCCUAUCAGCAGGGAAGAAAAUGACGGUACCUGACUAAGAAGCCCCGGCUAACUACGUGCCAGCAGCCGCGGUAAUACGUAGGGGGCAAGCGUUAUCCGGAUUUACUGGGUGUAAAGGGAGCGUAGACGGCGGCGCAAGUCCGGAGUGAAAGCCGACGGCCCAACCGUGGGACUGCUCUGGAAACUGUGCGGC